UACGUAGGGUGCAAGCGUUGUCCGGAAUUAUUGGGCGUAAAGAGCUCGUAGGCGGUCUGUUACGUCUGCUGUGAAAACCCUGGGCUUAACCCUGGGCUUGCAGUGGAUACGGGCAGACUAGAGGCAGGUAGGGGAGAAUGGAAUUCCCGGUGUAGCGGUGAAAUGCGCAGAUAUCGGGAGGAACACCGGUGGCGAAGGCGGUUCUCUGGGCCUGACCUGACGCUGAGGAGCGAAAGCGUGGGGAGCGAACAGG
rnacentral:rRNA from 1 species